ensembl:lncRNA
UUUUUUUAGUAUUUAUUUAUUUUAAUUUUGGCUGCACUGGGACCUUGCUACUGCACCGGGGCUUUCUGAAGUUACAGCAAGUGGGGGCUGCUCUCAAGUUGCAGCGCACGGGCUUCUCACUGCGGUGGCUUCUCUUGCUGUGGUGCAGGGGCUCCAGGGCACACAGUCGUCGGUGUUGCGGCUCCUGGGCUCUAGAACACGGGCUCAGUAGCUGUGUGACUUCAGGCAAGUUACUUAAUCUCUCCGAAGGCCAUCAUCUCUAAAAGCUGGCUGGAGAACCUUCAGGAGAAAGAUCAGUUAAAAGAUCCCACCUGUUGUUUGGAAACACGGAAAGCUAAUCCCUCAGGCAGCCCCAUCUCAGCCGCCUGGGGAGGGCUGCACAGAGAGGAGGGAAUAUCGGAAGAAUCUCUUGCUCAUUUCCCCAGCAGUUAGGAAGCAGAUGAAGCCAGAACUGGCUCUACACUUGGCAAAGCACCUGGACACAAUAAUAUGCUAAUAAAAUGAUUAAAUGUCUCCACAGCGAAGCC